CCUGGCUGGCUGUGGUGUUCUGAGAUGUGUUUUUGGUGCCGAAUGUUUGGGCGUGUUUGCUGGUGCGCUCCUUCUUGGCAUCUACAGCUGCAUAGUACCCUUUAGUCAGGAAGUUGCCUGUAGCAUCCACCAGCAGGAACAUCUCUUUCUGAGUCUUAGUGCUGUUUCCAGUAUAUAGAUAAUGCUCCAGAGGCACAGGUCUCUUAGCUGUGCUGAUCACGUAAAUGUUCCUUUUCUUAAUACGACUGGAAAUAAAACAUUAAGAGAAAGAAAAAAGUUCCAAAGACACAAAAAUGUAAGUCAACAACAAGAACACAUCAUUCUAAAAAUUUCUACUGAAAUCUACCAGU